rnacentral:lncRNA from 1 species
UCCUCCACCCGGUGGACCUCCUCGACCCGGCGUGCUGCCCUACCUCCGGUGUCAUCACCCCGUGUGGCCCGCAGCAUCUGAGGACAUAUGACUACUUUCUGACCUGCCAGCGCACAGGUUAGAUCAUUUGAAUUAGCAAAUAUAGAUGAUCAAGCAAAAGAUAAAAGGAAAUUGCUCUUUUAAUCUGACAAUCUGUAAUUUGUACUGUGAAAUUUGAUACUUACAGUACCUCAUGAUCUGCAUGACAAACUGAGUUGACAAUAUGGCAUCCUCUGAGCAUAGUGGGGCACUUACUCCCUUUCAGGACCUGACGAACAACGGGAAUUCAGGUAAAUACAUAUAUCACGUACUCUUACCUACUUCAAUCUUGUAAAUCCAGAAUAUGUCAUUGC